GUAAUAUUCUAUUUUUUUCUUUUUUUUUUUUUGGGGGGGGGGGGGGGGGUGUUUCGAGACAGGGUUUCUCUGUAUAGCCUUGGCUGUCCUGGAAUUCACUUUGUAGACCUCGAACUCAGAAAUCUGCCUUCCUCUGCCUCCGGAGUGCUGCGAUUAAAGGCGUGUGCCACCACGCCCGGCUAAUAUUCUAUUUCUUGAGCUGAAUGUUCAUUUCAGGUUCUUUUCUCUCCAAACAGUAAGUUUUCAUUGUAUCAACAUCUACAUUGCUUCAUAAAAUGGAAGGUUUCUGAUUUGUUCUCCAGCAUUGCUCAUUUGUGCCUCUACUUCUUCCUCCAGAGUUUCCAGUCAUCACUCUCACCUGGAAUCACUACAGGAGUCCCCAGUGGAGGUUUCACAGGACCUCAGGCCACACUGUGUUGCUCAUAACUCAACACAGUGUAUCUAACGCUUUGCUUCUUCUAUUGUUCCUGGAAUUUUUAAUCCAAAAACUCCCCAGAAAACCACUCACACUAGUCUGGCAAAGUCCAGUAUUUACAGUUCAGCCUGCUGUUGGGACAUUCUCCUGCCAUGGAGCACCACCUCCUACCUCUUAAGAAGCUCGUCCACACACUUUAGAACCAGUACAAGUAUCACCUCCUCUCUAAAUCUUUUCCGUCUCUCUCCGCAUGAGCACCAACUGGUAUGCCUUGACCUUUCACAGUGAUUUUACUUAAACAUUUUUAUUCAUGUCUCCUAUAAGGCCCUAAAGGCUUCUCGUCUGUCUUGGGGGAAGGAACUUGCAACUGUCAUUGAUGGGAACUUAGUUCGUCAGCCUUGGUUGUAAGCACCUUUGCCUGAUGAGCCAGCUUAUACCCCUUUUCUUUCUUUCAAGAAAAUACUUAUGGGGCUAGAGAAGCAGCUCAACCGUUAAGAGCACCGGCUUCUCUUCCAGAGGACCCAGGUUCAGUCCCUCCCAGCACUCACAGGGCAGCUCACACCUGUCAGCAACUCCAAUUCCAAGGGAUCUGAUACCAUCUUAUGGGCUCUGUGGAUACCAGGUAUGUAUGUGGUACAUAGACAUACAUACAAAACACUCAUACAUAUUAAAUAAUAAAAUCAUUUUUUAAAAAAGAAAAUGUUUAUUC
rnacentral:lncRNA from 1 species